UUUGAGAAAGAGAGAGCAUGCAUAAGUUGGAAGAGGGGUGUAGAGAGAGGGAGACACAGACUCCUCCCUGAGCAGGGAGACUGACAUGGGGCUCGAUCCCAGGACCCUGAGAUAAUGACCUAUGCCAAAGGCAGAUGUGACUUAGCCAGGCACUCCUUAAUACACAUUCUUGUUAAGGGCCUACUAUGUGCCAGGUACUUUGCUAGGCUCUCGACCAUAGGGCUGAAUAAGAUAUAAUAAGAUAUAACAAAAGAAUAUUAAAUAUUAAAUGAGAUGAGAUAUUAAAAACUAGAUGGUCUAUCACUAGGAAAUUUAGGUCUAAGAGAAGGAAAGGACUUGUCCAAAGUCAUAGCCUAGAAGAGCAGAGCUACGAUAAGACUCUUUCCCCGGACUCCAUCUUUGUGCAAAGCUUAAAAUCUCUGUGAAUAUGGUUGUAAACUGGUUAAGAUAAGCAGGCAUCCAAAAGAUUAUCGUUUCAAGCUGUAGAAAUAUGGAUUCUUUUUUCAGUUUAGAUUCCUAAACCUGCCCCGCAGCCCAGCUACCUUAGUCCCCAAUUACUACCUGAUGAUGCAUGCACUGCAGCUUGCCUUUGCCAGCUCAAGAUCAGUGACAAGGAAAGAAAGGCAGUGGCUCUCAGCCCAGCUCUGAAGCUGUGUCCUGCAGCAGGUGGCUGAUGUCCAGCGCCCCUUGGAGCAGGCAAGAUAGAUCACAAUCACUAAUUAGGUAAGAAGGAGGGUCAAGGUCAGGGGCAUGUCUCUGGCACCAAUUCCCAAAAUGUAACAGAACAGACCUCUGCAGACGGUGGUCUACUUUAUGUCUCACAAACACCAACCAAUCAUCUAAUCAUAAGUAUAUCAUGCUUGCCCCCAUCUUAGCUCUUUGGCAAGGCCCUAAGGGUCCCAACUUAGAUCUAGGACCCCAGCCAACCCUUGAAGCUGUCUUUCAUUUGUUUUGGCUUCUGGAGAAGAGUGUUUCUAAUGGAUAUGAGCCACCCUGAAAGUCACAUACAGGAGUUUUUAAUUCCAGUCCAGAUGGGUGCCAGUUCUCCAGCAGAUACCCAGCCAGACAUUGACACAGAUGCCCUGGAGGUCAGAAUGAAUUCACGACCAGGAUCAGACAUUUCAUAUACAAUAUGCAGCCCCCCCCUCCAAAAAAAAGCAAUAUGCAGCCCAUUGUAUCCUGAGCAUCCUGGAUCACAUUUCUUAAACCUCCCCCAAACCAAAACCAGGUUGCCGGGCAACUAUGAGAGCAGAAAGAACCUGAAUUUAGUUUUCAAAACUGAUGGAGGUGAAAGAGGUCCAAAACACCUACAAAGAAAUGGAGUCAAAUUAAUCUUCUUUCCAGAGAUAGCGUCUCUUUACCUUUGAGCUUUCCUUCCCAUCAGAUCUUGAAAUGGAUUGAACCAUUCAUUCAGU
rnacentral:lncRNA from 1 species